GUAAAUAUUUAUCGCGUUUCUACAAUUGUUUUAAAUGGUCAUAGCAGUUAUAAAAAGAGCGAAAGAAUUGUAUAAAGCUGGUAUUAUCCCGAAGCCUUCUUGGCUUUCCUCUGUUGAAGCGGUUCCUCCUAUUGGCUACGCUGGAAGGCCUUCUGGAAAAGUUCGCGAAAUUACUUUUCCUGAAGAUCCUUAUCGAAAGAAAUUUUUUGAAAAAGUCCCCCGAAAAUAUUUGUUGUCUCUUUUUGAUUCUGAUGAAACUAUUUGCGAUCGAUUUGUGCAACGCCAGUUAGAAUAUAUGCUUAAGGAAAAUCUUUUAGAAGGAGAAGCUUUUGAAAAAGCGUAUUCCGUUUUACGAGAGGAAAGUUUUGAUAAUCAAAACUUAAACACCUUUUCAAAUGCACAAAAAAUAUCCGAAGAAAAGUUGA